AAUCUUCCACAAUGGACGAAAGUCUGAUGGAGCAACGCCGCGUGAGUGAAGAAGGUUCUCGGAUCGUAAAGCUCUGUUGUACGGGAAGAACAAGUACAGGAGUAACUGUCUGUACCUUGACUGUACCUUACCAGAAAGCCACGGCUAACUACGUGCCAGCAGCCGCGGUAAUACGUAGGUGGCACGCGUUGUCCGGAAUUAUUGGGCGUAAAGCGCGCGCAGGCGGUUCUGUAAGUCUGAUGUGAAAGCCCACGGCUCAAACGUGGAGGGUCAUUGGAAACUGGAGGACUUGAGUACAGAAGAGGAAAGCGGAAUUCCACGUGUAGCGGUGAAAUGCGUAGAGAUGUGGAGGAACACCAGUGGCGAAGGCGGCUUUCUGGUCUGUAACUGACGCUGAGGCGCGAAAGCGUGGGGAGCAAACAG
rnacentral:rRNA from 1 species